AAUUUGCGUUAGGGAUGGUAGUGGAAAGCCCACAGCGCGUGCAGGGAUUGCGGGAAGGAAAGGCGAGGACUUGCAAUGUACAGCCCGGCCCGUU
rnacentral:misc_RNA from 1 species